rnacentral:rRNA from 1 species
AUGUCAUUUGCCGGCGUGUCUCUCAUCAGCGACGGCAAGGCCAUCGGCCACGCCAUCGACGUCUCCACGGCCAGCGGGUACCAUCUGCUUGUGGUUAAUGGCUACUCGCACAUCAAAGCCACUACACCUAAUGGAAAGGGGAUCUUUUCUCUCCCUUUCAUGGUAGGAGGCCACCGUUGGCGCAUCAAAUACUAUCCUAAUGGUGACUGCUUGAUGCGUGCCAACUCUGUUUCUAUCUAUGUUUUUCUUGAUGAAAAUGUUACGGAGGCUCUGAAGGUAUGGUUUGAAGUCAGUUUUGUCGACGAGCUUGAGAUGCAAGAUCCAACAUAUAUUCGCAGAAGAGAGCCAAUAAACUUUUCAAGCAGUACUCUUGUUUGGGGUCAAAUGGAUUUCAUGGAAACAGACACCCUUGAAAACUGUUUCACCAUUCGUUGUGACCUUGCCAUUGCAACUACCACUGAUCUCUUGAUCAAGGUACCACCUUCUAGUCUACAACAACAUAUCAGCGACCUCCUCUCGUCCAAAGAGGGCACUGACGUGACAUUCAAGGUUGGCAGUGAAGUGUUUGUUGCUCACCGGUGCAUUCUUGUGGCUCAAUCUGCCAUCUUCAAGGCAGAGCUCUUUGGUCCCAUGAAGGAGGGCAAAAUGGCAAGUGUCAUACAGAUUGAAGAUAUGGAACCAAAAGUGUUUAGGUCCUUGCUUAGCUUUAUUUACACCGAUUCACUGCCCAAAAUGGAGAUAGACAUGGUGGAGGAGGAAGGAAAGGCCCAGGAAGCAUUGUGGCUGCAACACCUGCUAGCAGCUGCGGAUAGAUAUGAUCUCCGAAGGCUGAAAGCACUAUGUUAA